CAAAUUCCCCGCGCUUUUAACUCAUUCUUCAUCUCUACUUCGAAUGAAUGAAAAUGAAAAUGAAAAUGAACAAAACCUGCGAUCUCUCCUCCAUCUCCGUUUUCCCUCCCCCUAUCACUAAUUCUAGGUUCAUUUCUUCAUUCUCAUUCUCUCUCUCUUUUUUCUUCACUCGUUUUCACGCUUUUUCGUCUUCUAUGCUUUACUUCUAUCCAUUGUUGUUGUUGAUUUGUUUGAAUCAAAUCGAGAUAUUAUAUGCAUCAUUUAAUUCAUUUUAAUAUAAGAGUGUAAUGUUUAUUCACUGUCACCGAUUGAUUUAUACACAGUCAUUAUGUCAUCUGUUAUUCCUUUGUAUUGCUAUUUUUGGAAAAGUUAAUGAUGAGUAAAUCUGAAUAAUGGAUUAUAAAGUGAUAGUAUAUAAAAUUAUUCAGUGAUACAUUUUUUUUUCUUUUAUUAUAAUUAUGACGUAUAUGGCAUUAUGUUUUACUUUGUUUAUUUGAUUGUUUUGUUUUUAAGAAAUCUGAGAAGAUUAAAUUGUAAUUUUCAAUUUUAUUCAGUUACUUAUGCGUUCGAUUCACGAUGAUUUUGUUUCAUGAAUUUAUCUUUUAUGCGAUAGUUCUAAUCUUUCACGUCUAUGUAACUGUCUCGAUCCAAAGUUAACUGUACUCAAUUCAUGCACAUUAUGCCUUAACUCAAUAUUAGAUCUUCGAUUCCAUGAUUUGUCUCAAUGUUAUUUAUUAACGCUGAAAGGAAACGAAAUUUUCAUGCUAUUUGGUUCCAAUUUGAGUUUUAUGUUUAAUAGAUUUGAAUCAAUAUAAAUAACACCUGGAACCUUGUUACAUUAACAAAUAGUAGUGUUCAUAAUUUUUUUUUAUGUUUGUUGUGUGAUGAAAAAAUUGAAGGAGGCAAAAUAAUGUACCAAAUGGAUUGCCAGCACCACAGCAUCGGUCACAAACAUCUCAACAGUCAUUUUCUCAAACAUCACAGCAGCAUCGAUCGCAGCCGUCUCAGCAGUCAUUCUCUCAGCCGCAUUCAUCUCAACACGGAGUGUUUUCUCAUUUCUCCCAAAGCUCU
rnacentral:lncRNA from 1 species